GCCUUCUCUUUGAACAAAGACACAGGGUAUUGCUUAAUGCAUGGCCAUGGCUUAUCCUUGAAAUAGCUGAUUAUAAUGGGUUCAAUUCCUUUUAUCAAGCCCCAAUGAUUCCUAGACUGGGCCCAUAACACCUACUAAGUUUCCUUCAUUUCAGAGUGCUUUUCCAGCCCAUGGGUGAAACUGUCACUUUCCCUUGUGUUCUUCCUGAACCUAAAGCCACAUAGUAUCUAAAUCAGCCUUCUACUAUGGCAGUGCCAAAAACGCUUCCUCUGGGAUACAGAAUAUUACAAGAUAUAUAUCAUAAUUUACACAGAUGGUCUUUUCCCAAGAGAUCAACAGGUGAAUUAAGUGAUAGAAAAAAAACAAACAAAAAAGGCAUGAUUUUCAAUUAAAGGUCCUAUUUGGUCAUAGGGUUUGGAAAGAGUGAGAGAGCUUUUAACUGUCUUACCUCUUUUCCAUUUCUAUUUUUUCUUUAUAACCAUUCAAAUCAUUUUUGGUGGGGCAAUGAGUGCGACUUGCCCAGUGUCACACAGAUAGUCAUCCAAAUAAUUUUUAAGUUUGUUGGAGGCAUAUUACUCCACUUCAAAGGUACCAGAAAUCCAUUUGCUUUGGAUACAGUGUUUCUCAAAAUCCCAUUGAGUGAACUUACCUACUUCAAAUAAACUUUCCUCUAGCUACUGCAAUUCUAGCUUUUCAUAAAUAGAAACAUGCCACACAUGACAGAAAAAAUACUAACUUCUUGAGCUAGAGACCUCCCAGGAAUGUAAGAGCUUCCCAUAUUUCUCCACCAUUUUAGCCAGUAGAGAUCCAGACAGGAUCUCUUCACAACAUAAUCUACCAUUUUCCAGCUUACAAUACCUAGUCUGCAAUUUCUUCACAACUCUUUAUUUCCGAAGUCAUAGGUCAGUGGAGUCCUGGGAUGAAGACUUAUUAGAAGGUCAGGGUCACUUACCUGCUAUAAAAUGGCCAUGAAUACCCACUGGGAGUUCACUCACCAUUCCUUCAGUGCCUGAGAUUCCUGUCCAGUCAGCCAAAUUAACGUAUGUGGAGACAAUUCUUAAAAGAAAACAAAAUAUCUGAAAAGAGAAAAUAGCAUCCAAAAUAUAUACAUACAAGCAGUCUACUAUCCAUAAAUCAACAUUAUGCACCUACUCUGUGCCAAGCAUUGUGCUAAGCAGUGGGGAUACACUAAGAGGCAAAAACCAAGCCUUGCUCUCAAGGAGCUUGCAAAUCUAAUGGAGAGACAACAUGCAAAGCAAAUAUAAACAAGCUACAUACAGAAGAAAUACUUAAGACUGAAGGCAGUAGAAUUAAGAGGGGCUGGGAAAGUCUUCCUGUGAAAGAUGGGAUUUUAGUUCAGACCAAAAAGCAUCUGGAAAGUCAGUAGGUGGAGCUGAGGAAAUCUCAGCAUGAGAGAUAGCCAGAGAAAAUGUCCACAGAUGACUUGUCCUAUUUGUGGAACAUUUAGGAGUCCAAUGCCACUGGAUCAAAGACUAUAAGGUAUAAGAAGUCUGGAAAGAUAGAAUGGUAGCUAUAAUAUGAAGGGCUUUGAAUGCCAAACAGAACAUUUUUUUUAUUUACUACUGGAAGUGAAAAGGAUCCACUGGGAGUAACAGGCAAUGACAGGAUAGUACCUACUCUUUAGGAAAAUCACUUUAGUGGAUGAAUGGAAGGAUGGAUUGGAGUGAGAAGAGACUUGAAAUGGGCAGACCCACCCCCAUGCUACUGCAGUAGUCCAGGCAUAGGGUGAAGAGAGCCUGUACCAGAGUGGUGGCAGUGUCAGAGAAGGGGGCACAUUCAAGAGAUAUUACAGAGGUGAUACUGACAGGCCUUGGCAACAGAUUGGAGAUGAGGGGUGAGAGAUAGUGUGGGGUCAAGGACGUCCCAUAUUUCAAGAGCCUGAGGGAUUGGGAGGUUAGUAUUGCCUCAUAUAUAUGAGAAAGGGGAGAGAUUAAGGGGAAAGAUGAUGAAUUCUAUUUUAGACGUGUUAAAUACCAGACAUCUACAGGCCAUCCAGUUCAAGAUGUCUGAAAGGCAGUUGGAGAUGCAAGAUUGGAGGUCAGCAGAGUUUGGGGCAGGAAAGGUAGAUUUGAGAAUCAUCGGCAUCCCUGGGAGUUGAUGACAUAGUAUAGAGUAUAGAGGGAGAAGAGAAAAGACUCCUGGAUAGAACUUUGAGGAACCCGCAUGGUUGGAGAGUGUUAUCUGGAGGAGGAUACUAAGAGGGAGCAGUCAGAUAGGCAGGAGGGGAAUCAGGAGAGAAGAGAAUAUGGAGGACAGAGGGAGAUGACCAGUGUCAAAGGCUGCAGAAAAGUGAAGGAGAUUAGAAUUGAGAAAAAGCCAUUGAAUUUUGCAAUUAAUAUUCAUUGGUACCUUUGAAGUAAACAGUUUUAGUGUAAUGAUAAAUUUGGAAGCCAGAAUGUAAGGGGUUAAGAGGAGAAAAAGCAGAGGCACUUAUUGUAGAAGGCCUUUUUGAUGGGUUUAGCUACAAAACCCAGAGGAGAUAUAGACAACAGUGGAGAUGAAAAGGUCAAGUGAGAGUUUUUGAGGAUGGGAGAGACAUGGGCCUAUCUGUAGGCAGGAAACAGGGAGAGAUUGAAAAUAAGUGGUAGCAAAGGGAUGACAGGGUAGUCUAUUGGAGGACAUGGCAUUGCUAGAACAAGUAAAAGGUAGUUAACCUUGAUAAGGAGUAAAGCCACCCAAUCAUGGGAGAAGAAUGAAGGAGGAGAUAGUGGCAAAAGCAAUCUGUGUGAUCACAGAUGAGGAAAAGGGAAGUCACCUGAGAGGGUGGUGGAAGGGGAUGCCAUGAGAGGUUUGAGGAGAGGUGAAAAGGUUUGGAAGGCCUGCCAGGGAGGGGGGAUAGGGAGUUGAUAGGAGCGACAAUAGGAUUGCCUAGCAGUGGAGGAGGCCCAGUAGAAGUUGUAGAACUUUAUGACCAUCAGAACAGUUGUAUGAUUUCUUUAGGUGAGUACUCCAAAGCUAAGACUUGGGUAGGACAUAAAUGGUGAUACAAGAGGUCCAGGAAUUCAAGUGUGGAGGACAGUGUAGAGUUGAAUUGGUUCAGCAAGGGGACAAGAUGGGGGGGGGGGGAAGAGAAGCUAGUUUAGGGGUGAUGGCUUGGUAGAGAAUUAGUUGAGGGGUCAAAGAAUUGGAGAUAAUGAUAUGGACAAAGAGCAGGAUUCUUAAAGCAAAGGCUUAAAGAGGUGAAAUCCAAUAGGUUAUGGCUGGAUAAGGGGAUUUUGGAAUUCUUAAACUUGGAAGUGGUACCAUUGUGAGUGAUGGCAAGAUCCAGGGUAUAAGCAUAUUGGUAUGUAGCUGAGGUAGUGAGUAAAUCGAGGAACUGAGUGGUUAGGGUGAUAGAGGGAGAGUCAAGAUGUGGGUUGAAGUCCCUUAGAAUGAGGGAGGAGUUGAAGAGGAAAGAAUCAUUAUGAGCCAUGUACCAGACUGAUUGAAUAUGGAAGGGGAGUGACCUGGGAGCUUGUAGACAACACCUACCAGGAUUUUAAUUGGGUGGUAGCUAUGAAUAGCAUGAACCUCAAGGGAAGAGGUUGUUGACUGUUGGAAGUAGAGGGAGAAUAUGGAAGUGGAAAUGGGGAACAAGGAAUAUUUUAACUUUUCUGUGACCUGUGAACUGAGGAGAAGGAGAGAAGAUUCAGCCAUUACUGGAAAAGGUGACCAGUGGAGUGUCAUCUAGGUGUAGCCAUGUUUUAGUAAUACUUCUAUAUGGAAAGAUUGAGAGAGGAAAUGAAGGGAAAUUUGUUGCCUAUGGAACAUGAACUCCAUAAGGCAUAGUAGAAGGGUUGGGUAGUGUGAUAGUUACUUAGAGGUAAGAGGAUUGAGAGGGAUGGGAAUAAGCAAUUGGCUGGUAGGGGGUGUCGAAUAUGGUUUGGAUGAUGAUCUGGAGGGGUUCAUAAUCAAUGAAAUAAAAUGAGUAUGACCACGUGUGAGAAUAUUCAUUUUUGAAUGGAGGGCACCACUCCUCUUCCCAGGGGGAGCUGGAGAAAGUGCAAUAUGAGAUGGGAGGCAUCCACUCAGGUGGUCAGAUGGAAAACCCUGCUUCACUAGUCCUCUUCCCUCUGAAGGUUGGAAAUUAGGCAGGAAGAGGGUGCAGUAAGAGGUGAAAGUCAAACCUGUGAAAUAAGAAACAGAGUCAAAAGUCUCUCCCCACCAACUUUCCUCCUCCCUCAAGAGACAGGCACAGCAGGAGAUGGAAGGCCUGACAUGAAAAGGUAGGUUACUCUUCUGCACCAGAAAUUCUCCAAAUCUUAGUUAAGAUAGUGAACUGGUAGCAGGAAGUAGAAGUUGCCUUGUGUGAGUACAGAAGGAAGUUCAUUUGGGUCAGAUCGAAGACCCCUGACCAGGCCUCUUGCCACCUUCCUGCAGGGGACAUGCUGAGCCCAGCAGGGAAUGGAAGGCACAGGGCAUGUGGUUGGUUAGGCUACUCUUCUCAACUGAAGAAGCUGGUAAAGAGUGGGUAGCAGAGUGCUUCCAGGAAGAACUUAUCUGUCUCUCGUACAAAAUUUCCUAUCACAGCGGGCACCAUUACCUUUGAAAAGAUUAUUCCAUUGAAGAACUGAGCAAUCUCCUUCUUCCAGACAAAUUUCAUUUUGAAAAGCUCCCUGUUAGUUUAGAAAGGGGAGAGACCAGAGGAUAACACAGGUUAAGUAACUUGGUUACCUUGACAGGUCCGGUAAGUGGAUUAGUUGGGAGGUAAAGUCCUGGCUUCCUGACCCUACCAGUAAGGUUGUGACCAUCAAGUGAUUUGGAACUCUGCCUGUCAACCAUUGUUUUUGUAUUCAUUCAUACCAUCCUUCCCUUCCCUAAAAAUUCAUGGUCCACAUAGUUAGAAUUGUGGGCCUUUUCAAAGGCCCUCUAUUUGGAAGCCCCUUAUCAGACAACUAAGAAAAGCAAGGCCCUUGAGUUUCCCAAGGCCUAAUAGAAAACAUGUAUCUGAUGUAUGUAUUAGGUCGCCUGCUUGGCUGACUCCAGAUGCUGGCCACUGACCACUCUACCUUGGGUGUGCCUCUGUCUUGUAUUCCCUUUUGUUGUUUCCAUUCCAGGUCUUUUCUUUCUGUUAAUUUUGGCCUCUGCUGGUCAACCAUUCAUUGACCAUAUGUCUUUACUCUUGCCAUCUCACACUACCCUAAAAAUUCAUUGUCCAAAUAGUUCUAAAUCUAGGGCUUUUCAGGGCCCCUUUGCUUGAAAGCCUCUUAUCUGAAAGGUAAGGAAAUUGAGGCCAACAGGGUUUUCCAAGGCUUAAUUCAUAGAAUUUGCCUGACAUAUAAAUUAGAUCCUCUGCUUGGCUGACUCCAGGUGUAGCUGACUGGAUACUUACUAUCUAUUGUGUGCCUCAACCUGGUCAUAUUUGCUUCUUUUUUCCUUGUCAUUUCCUUUCUCUUGACCCCAUCAAAUGGAGUCAGCAGGAAAAGCAAUUGAAAAUAGUUGGGAUGUCACAGAGUUAGGACAGUAUGCAGGGCCACCCACACACUCAUUCUUGCCAUCUCUUUUCCUUUCAGCCCUAGAGGCUUCACUUUAUUUCUGAACUUCCCAUUUCUAGGACUGUGUUAACCUGGAAGAUUUCAGAAGUCAUCUUUAUGUUAACUUUUGCUACCAUCCAACUUCCUUUUCAAAGGAGGCAGAUACCCUGGAAGAUUUCAGAAGUGUCUCUCUUGUUCCCAAAUGUCCUCAGGCAACCCUCCCUCUUCCCUUCUAAAUGAUCAUUCCCAGGAAGAGCUGAGCAAUCUUCCACUUGUGGAUAAAUUUCAUUUUGACAAGCUCUUUGUUUCUUCUCAAAGGUCAGAGAGCUGAGGAGGAAUGAGGUUACCUGACUUGGCCUUCUUGAUAUGUCUGGAUGGUAAUAUCCUGGAAGAUUUGAGAAGUCACCGUCUUGUUGACAGAUUUUCUCAGGAAGAAAGGAAGGCAGAAUGAAAGACCAAAAGCUCACCAGGAAGAGGCAGAAAAGUUUCGUGGAUGCUAAAAAGAGACAUGAAAAUACAAGACUAUGGCUUUAAAUCUUUGGUGGUCGCUUAACUUGAAAAUAGCUGGCCCUAUAAUUUGAAGGGUUAGCAGUAAAUGGCCCUUGGAGGAAUUGAGAUUUACACAUUACCAUGAGUAAACAAAUUGGAUUUGCUCUUGAAAGUAAAUCAUAAUGUGGGUUCAUUUAUAGUGAAAUGUGUUCUCCAAUUAGGAUAAUUGUGAUCCAUCAGAACUUGAUGCAAAAAUACAUUUGUUAUUUGGCAUUAAGGCAGAAGGAAAAAAUGUUAGAAAAUGGAUGUCUCAGGAUAACCUGAGUCAAAAACCCAGUCUCAGCAAUUAAUCCAGUUGUGGGGACCAAUUUUUAAUUGGGGAAUGCUAGCUAAGCGGCUCGCCGCAGUAUUGGGGCAAGGAAGGAAACCGGCAGCCUCCCUCAAAACAGAACAAGAUUUAUUUUAACAAGA